CCUAUAAUGACGAAUUUACCCAGCGGCUUCGGCUCCUUUUAUCGCGUCCAAACCCUAGCCCUAUAAAUCCAAGAAGAUAACCUCCGCUGCACACCUCGAGACCCGGCGCCGCACGGCAGGAAGAGAGAUCGCGAGGGGAGUUGUCACACACUUGGCUGCUCCAACGAGAUGAGGGCGAAGUGGAAGAAGAAGCGAAUGAGGAGACUCAAGAGGAAGCGACGAAAGAUGAGGCAGAGAUCCAAGUAAGGUGGCUGUCUCUGGGAUAGUCUUCACCUGCCCAUUAUUGACCAGAGAUCCAAGGCCUAGUAUUUCCCUAAUUGCUAAUGUUGGCUUAGAAACCAUAUGUUAUGCUUAGCAGGUGAGCCAAUUUGUGGUUUAUUCACUGUUGGGGAUGAUUAAACAUUUCCAGUAUGUUAUCAGUAUCUAUGGAUGUUCUGUUUUUUCUUA